rnacentral:rRNA from 1 species
UACGUAGGUGGCAAGCGUUGUCCGGAUUUACUGGGCGUAAAGAGCGCGCAGGCGGUCGUUCAAGUCGCGUGUGAAAGCCCCCGGCUCAACUGGGGAGGGUCACGCGAUACUGAUCGACUCGAAGGCAGGAGAGGGUAGUGGAAUUCCCGGUGUAGUGGUGAAAUGCGUAGAUAUCGGGAGGAACACCGGUGGCGAAGGCGGGAUCCUGGGCCAGUACUGACGCUGAGGAGCGAAAGCGUGGGGAGCAAACAGG